rnacentral:rRNA from 1 species
CCUACGGGUGGCAGCAGUGAGGAAUAUUGGUCAAUGGACGGAAGUCUGAACCAGCCAUGCCGCGUGCAGGAAGACGGCUCUAUGAGUUGUAAACUGCUUUUGUACAAGGGUAAACCUGGAUACGUGUAUUCGGCUGAAAGUACUGUACGAAUAAGGAUCGGCUAACUCCGUGCCAGCAGCCGCGGUAAUACGGAGGAUCCAAGCGUUAUCCGGAUUUAUUGGGUUUAAAGGGUGCGUAGGCGGAUUGAUAAGUUAGAGGUGAAAUGUCCGGGCUUAACUCCGGAACUGCCUCUAAUACUGUCGGUCUAGAGAGUAGAUGCGGUAGGCGGAAUGUAUGGUGUAGCGGUGAAAUGCAUAGAGAUCAUACAGAACACCGAUUGCGAAGGCAGCUUACCAAUCUAUAUCUGACGUUGAGGCACGAAAGCGUGGGGAGCAAACAGGAUUAGAUACCCGGGUAGUC